AUUGAACGCUGGCGGCAUGCCUUACACAUGCAAGUCGAACGGCAGCACGGACUUCGGUCUGGUGGCGAGUGGCGAACGGGUGAGUAAUACAUCGGAACGUGCCCAGUUGUGGGGGAUAACUACUCGAAAGAGUAGCUAAUACCGCAUGAGAACUGAGGUUGAAAGCAGGGGAUCGUAAGACCUUGCGCAACUGGAGCGGCCGAUGGCAGAUUAGGUAGUUGGUGGGAUAAAAGCUUACCAAGCCGACGAUCUGUAGCUGGUCUGAGAGGACGACCAGCCACACUGGGACUGAGACACGGCCCAGACUCCUACGGGAGGCAGCAGUGGGGAAUUUUGGACAAUGGGCGAAAGCCUGAUCCAGCAAUGCCGCGUGCAGGAUGAAGGCCCUCGGGUUGUAAACUGCUUUUGUACGGAACGAAAAGCUUCGGGUUAAUACCCUGGAGUCAUGACGGUACCGUAAGAAUAAGCACCGGCUAACUACGUGCCAGCAGCCGCAGUAACAC
rnacentral:rRNA from 1 species